UUCACGCGCACGAUGUGCGUGAGGAUCGUAUGAAAUGUUUCCCGAAGGAGAAUCUGUACCCUCUGCAACACCAAGCUUGACAAACAAUCUCACUUACGGCCUUCCUUUUCAGCAGUGUUGUCUGUUGGGUGACGAGUAGAGCCAGUCGAAAGGGUAUGGUCCUCUUUACUACGUUCUCCGAGCUUGCGUUCAUAGCGCUUUUCUACUUGCUUCAGUUUCGAAGUCUCCUCCGGCUGGUUUUUCUGCGUUUUGCUUCGAAUUGCCUCGCCCGUUUCCUUCGACAGGAACUUUUGAGACCUCGCCAACUGCAACUAACUCCUGUGCGAUGCAGCUGCAGUCAGGGUGUCCUGUCUAACCUGAGCAGGAUCCGCCAAUUUUCCGCGCACAUCGGCAGACUUCGUCGAAGCUUCGGACGACUUGCUCUUCCGUGAACCUGAGGAUGCCUUAGAGCUCUUGGAAGCAGCCGAAGCCUUGCGCUUAUUCGCCGGUUUAUCAGCAGCUGGAUCCAUAAGCACUGACGCCACGGUCGCUUCGAAUGGAAUGAGAGAGAACUAAAAAAAAAAAAUUCUUCUUCUUCGUCCUGCGGAGAAUGGCCAUUAGCCCCAAGGGAGAUCGGCCAGGGCUAUGAGGAUGUCCAACGGUGGUGAAGAACAUGUUCAGGACGUGAACUUGCAGCCACAGGAGGAAACAGGGCAUAGCUGUGACGUUUUCCAUGUUCAAUGUGAACUCCAUACUGUGGCUGGUUUCAUCACUGCCGCUACAUAUACAAAUAUGGAAACUCGUGAAUUGGAAAAUCCCCGUUUUCAGCAAACGACGCUACGAUACCGAACACCGAGUCUUCCAACAUAUGAGAUAUUUAUGGUGGUGAAAGCGGCACCGUCCCCACAGCAACAAGCAAGAAUGAGGACAAGGUCCGUAUGCAUGGAUGCCGCCCCUGCAAUUUUACACAAUACAAUAUUUCACGCGAUUCUGUGAACACAUCAAAGCCCCUUAGGAGCUGUGUUCAUUCUACAUAGUCUCACAUAUGCCACCACAUUGAGAAACGAUAUCUUCUUUAUCUUACGUUGCCAAUGCUGUGUUGUGUUUUCCUGAUAUUCACAAUACAAUACGUUCCCAGGAAAGCCCAUGGUCAUUGUAUUUUGGUAUGUCACCCGUGUCGUGUUUCGUGUGUGUGCCUGUAUGCAAUUUGCAAGUGCGAGCAUCUUAACCACUGUGACACGGGAGCUGGUACCGCUGUUAGUGCAGAAUUAGUAUCACUUACAGCGAUUACAAUUACAGCGAUUACUUACACGAAGUCGACUUCGUUCACAUAAUCCCCUGCACACUCUAACAAAGCGGCCAUUCACUCCGGCCGUAAAAACCCGUACGGACCCUUUCUUCCCUCCGGGCUGUUGACACACAAUUCGCAUGAACCUUUAAACACGUCACA